UACGGAGGGGGCGAGCGUUAUUCGGAAUUAUUGGGCGUAAAGGGCGCGUAGGCGGCCCGGUAAGUCAAAGGUGAAAUCCCUCGGCUCAACUGAGGAACUGCCUUUGAAACUGUCGGGCUUGAGGCCGGGAGGGGGUAGCGGAAUUCCCAGUGUAGCGGUGAAAUGCGUAGAUACUGGGAGGAACACCAGUGGCGAAGGGCGGCUACCUGGACCGGUUCUGACGCUGAUGCGCGAAAGCGUGGUAGCAACAGG
rnacentral:rRNA from 1 species